CUUUCCUUUUUAGCUCCUCUCUCCUUUCCCCUUUUUUUUUUCGAGUGAGAUUUUUCCCUCUGCUCUUGGUGGGGUUGCAGGAGUCUGGCUCCCAUAGGAGUUCAGGUAGAGUCUUCCUGCAACCAGAGUUGGAGACGAGGUCCGACCCUCGUAGGAGUCCGGACGGAGUCUUCUUGCGAUCAAAGUCGAGGGUGAAGUCCGGCUCCCUAGGAGUCUGGACGAAGUUUACCUGCAAUCAGAGUCGGGGG
rnacentral:lncRNA from 1 species